UAUAUAUAUAUAUAUGUGUAUAUCUAUCUCUCUCUAUAUAUGUGUAUAUGUAUCUCUCUCUAUAUAUGAGAGAGAGAUACAUAUACACAUAUAUAGAGAGAUAGAUAUACACAUAUAUAUAUAUUUG